UCCCCGGUGGCGCAAUUGGCUAGCGCGUCUGACUGUUAAAAUAACUGUUAUCAGGAGGUUGAAAGUUCGAGCCUUUCCCGAGGAG